AUUGAACGCUGGCGGCAGGCCUAACACAUGCAAGUCGAGCGGAUGAAGGGAGCUUGCUCCUGGAUUCAGCGGCGGACGGGUGAGUAAUGCCUAGGAAUCUGCCUGGUAGUGGGGGAUAACGUCCGGAAACGGGCGCUAAUACCGCAUACGUCCUGAGGGAGAAAGUGGGGGAUCUUCGGACCUCACGCUAUCAGAUGAGCCUAGGUCGGAUUAGCUAGUUGGUGGGGUAAAGGCCUACCAAGGCGACGAUCCGUAACUGGUCUGAGAGGAUGAUCAGUCACACUGGAACUGAGACACGGUCCAGACUCCUACGGGAGGCAGCAGUGGGGAAUAUUGGACAAUGGGCGAAAGCCUGAUCCAGCCAUGCCGCGUGUGUGAAGAAGGUCUUCGGAUUGUAAAGCACUUUAAGUUGGGAGGAAGGGCAGUAAGUUAAUACCUUGCUGUUUU
rnacentral:rRNA from 1 species